AAUAAUGGAGUGCUUCAUGGUACUGAAGGAAGCAAGAGCUCUGCAAAUAGAGGAAAGUGUCUUACAUUGGUUACUGAGAUGUUCAAAAGGGUUGCCUAUUACAUGCCAAAGAAAGCAACUGAAAGCAGGAGAAAUUGCCAAAUCCCUCAGAAUAAAUGAAAGAAAUGUCCAAGCAACAGAGGAUGAUGUGGCCUGGCCUGGGCUAUCAUUAAGUGGAAAGAUGUGAAGCAUACCUCUUAUGUGGAAUUCUCAGCCCAGUGAUCUGAAAAGUCAAAAGAGGGAAGCACGACUAGCCACCAUUGGUAUGAGGAAACCCAGGCCACAUGGAGAAAUCCUGCGGUGUUCCAGUUGACAGCCCCAGAAAAGCUCCCAGGUGACAGACAGCACCAAUUGCCAGACAUGUGAGUGAACAAGCCUUCAGAGAAGUUUUCAGCCCCUGGCAUGGGUGUCUUCCAUCAAGGGCCACAGUCAUCAUGGAGGAGACA
rnacentral:lncRNA from 1 species